rnacentral:rRNA from 1 species
CCUACGGGAGGCAGCAGUGGGGAAUUUUGGACAAUGGGCGCAAGCCUGAUCCAGCCAUGCCGCGUGCGGGAAGAAGGCCUUCGGGUUGUAAACCGCUCUUGUCAGGGAAGAAAAGGUUCUGGUUAAUACCUGGGACUCAUGACGGUACCUGAAGAAUAAGCACCGGCUAACUACGUGCCAGCAGCCGCGGUAAUACGUAGGGUGCAAGCGUUAAUCGGAAUUACUGGGCGUAAAGCGUGCGCAGGCGGUUAUGCAAGACAGAGGUGAAAUCCCCGGGCUCAACCUGGGAACUGCCUUUGUGACUGCAUAGCUAGAGUGCGGCAGAGGGGGAUGGAAUUCCGCGUGUAGCAGUGAAAUGCGUAGAUAUGCGGAGGAACACCGAUGGCGAAGGCAAUCCCCUGGGCCUGCACUGACGCUCAUGCACGAAAGCGUGGGGAGCAAACAGGAUUAGAUACCCUGGUAGUCCACGCCCUAAACGAUGUCAACUGGUUGUUGGGAGGGUUUCUUCUCAGUAACGUAGCUAACGCGUGAAGUUGACCGCCUGGGGGNGGACGGCGCGAGUAGUAACGACGAAGAAGUAGACGGCGUGAGAGUGCGACGGACGACGACGAGGGAGGAGG